AAGUUAUCUCAGCCAUCGAGAGCAGCAGCAUCAGUAACAGCACAGCCAUGCCAGACUCAGCAAUUCUGCUCUUAGAAGUUUUACCCAAGAGAAAAGGAAAACACAUGCCCACAUGAAGAGUGUUUAUAUCAGCUUUAUUCAUAAUCACCUCCACCUGGUAACAACCAAUUGUCCACCGAAUGAGUCUUGGUUCCUGUGUUUGCUCCCUGAGUGAAAAAUCAUGCUUCAAAUUGAUUCAUAGAUCUGGCAAAUACCACUGAUACUAGCAGCUGUUUGCUAAUAUUCUGAAUAGGUCAGAUCUUUGGUACAGAUGCUGCCAUCACAAUCCUAGAAGACUCACCAUUGCUUCACAGAGUGGAGGGUUAAAAAAAAAGUGUCAGUACCAGGAUCGAAGCCAACUAUUGGUCAUUUAAAAAUAUAGUAUUUUGGAAUAGGACAUCCAUAUAAAGUAUCCAGAAUGGAGAAGUGGCUGAGAAGGAGCAACAAUGAACUAUGAGAAAGAGUUUUUAAAAACUGUUAAAUAUAUUUUUUUAAUUAUUAUACUUUAAGUUCUAGGGUACAUGUACACAACGUGCAGGUUUGUUACAUAUGUAUACUAAAUCGUGCUGCUAUAAAGACACAUGAACAUGUAUGUUUAUUGCAGCACUAUUCACAAUAACACAGACUUGGAACCAACCCAAAUGUCCAUCUAUUAUAGACUGGAUUAAGAAAAUGUGGCACAUAUACACCAUGGAAUACUAUGCAGCCAUAAAAAAUGAUGAGUUGAUGUCCUUUGUAGGGACAUGGAUGAAGCUGGAAACCAUCAUUCUCAGCAAACUAUCUCAAGGACAGAAAACCAAACACCACAUGUUCUCACUCAUAGGUGGGAAUUGAACAAUGAGAACACCUGGACACAGGAAAGGGAACAUCACAUACUGGGGCCUGUCGUGGGGCAUGGGGAGGGAGGAGGGAUAGCAUUAGGAGAUAUACCUAAUGUAAAUGACGAGUUAAUGGGUGCAGUACACCAACAAGGCACAUGUAUACAUAUG
rnacentral:lncRNA from 1 species